rnacentral:rRNA from 1 species
AUUGAACGCUGGCGGCAGGCCUAACACAUGCAAGUCGAACGAGUGGCGGACGGGUGAGUAAUGUCUGGGAAACUGCCUGAUGGAGGGGGAUAACUACUGGAAACGGUAGCUAAUACCGCAUCCCAUCAGCUGUGCCCAGAUGGGAUUAGCUAGUUGGUGGGGGAACGGCUCACCAAGGCGACGAUCCCUAGCUGGUCUGAGAGGAUGACCGGCCACACUGGAACUGGAACACGGUCCAGACUCCUGCGGGAGGGAGCAGUGUGGAAGAUUGCACAGUGGGCGCAAGCCUGAUGCAGCCAUGCCGCGUGUAGGAAGAAGGCCUUCGGGUUGUAAAGUACUUUCAGCGGGGAGGCGUUACCCGCAGAAGAAGCACCGGCUAACUCCGUGCCAGCCGCCGCGGUAAUAC